CUUUUGCCGUUGCAUGUGGAGGAAUGCAAUGGAACAUUGACUGAGAGUGAAUCUGGGACAUGUCUUGAUGAAGAUUGUUCAGUUCUUGAGCAGCCAGUCCCAUCUACCAUAGGCAUGGAUGAAUCCUUGGCGGUCUGCCCAAUCUGUCUUGCAUUGUACCCAGCUGAUGUUCUCCCAUCUCAUGCAAGCACAUGUGGUGACAGCGUAGCAGCCAGUCCCCCAAGGGGAGAAGAAUUGCCAGGACCCUCAGUUCCACAAUCGUCAGUUCAACAAUCGUCAGCAGCUUCAACCUGGGCCACUGAAGUCGACCCCCAAAAAGCAUGCCAGUUGUUCAGAGAAGAUUUACUGAACUGUUACUCUGAAAGUCCACGCCUCUCUCUAUCACUCGACAUGUUUGACGCAGAAGAAGAACAGAACAGUGCAUUAAUUUCAUUCUAUAAGCAGAAUAACGUGAACUGGGCAGCUCCAUUCAAGUGCAGGCUGAGAGACCGUGAUCCAGAACAUUACCUGGCCACAACCUAACUUUGACAGCGACGAGGAUGAGGACGACACUAUUCCAUUGGAGAAAAUCAGUCUUGUCACUGGAUUUUUGAGAAAAUUCUUAGAGGAAGCGCCACCAGAUGUGCUGCGUCACCUGAUGAAGUUUUGGGUGGGGUGGGAACUGCCAACAACAAAACUCAAUGUUGACGUUGUAACCUCAACUUAUCCAGUGGCUCUCACCUGCUUCUUCAAGUUGAAGCUCCCAGCCACUACCAGACCUACAAGAUUUUUCACCAGGACUUGAUGAUGGCCCUCAGUUCCAUAAGUUUCUUUGUAAAGCAGAUUUGUCUAAAUUUGUUACCCCUUUACAGUGAUGUGUUGUUAAUACAACUGUACUGCUACAUUUGA